CCUACGAGCGGCAGCAGUGGGGAAUAUUGGGCAAUGGGCGCAAGCCUGACCCAGCAACGCCGCGUGAAGGAAGAAGGCUUUCGGGUUGUAAACUUCUUUUAUCAGGGACGAAGCAAGUGACGGUACCUGAUGGAUAAGCCACGGCUAACUACGUGCCAGCAGCCGCGGUAAUACGUAGGUGGCAAGCGUUAUCCGGAUUUACUGGGUGUAAAGGGCGUGUAGGCGGGAGUGCAAGUCAGAUGUGAAAACUAUGGGCUCAACCCAUAGCCUGCAUUUGAAACUGUACUUCUUGAGUGCUGGAGAGGCAAUCGGAAUUCCGUGUGUAGCGGUGAAAUGCGUAGAUAUACGGAGGAACACCAGUGGCGAAGGCGGAUUGCUGGACAGUAACUGACGCUGAGGCGCGAAAGCGUGGGGAGCAAACAGGAUUAGAUACCCCUGUAGUC
rnacentral:rRNA from 1 species